GCUGCCCCUAAGGCGUUGCAUAUGUGGCUGCGGUGUCACGUGUGUGUCAUCAGUGGCAGAGAGAAGAGAGGCUUGUCUACGCCCAGUGUUCUGGCCUGUGAACGUCUGGAUGAUGAUAGUCUGACACU
rnacentral:snoRNA from 1 species